rnacentral:rRNA from 1 species
GAUGAACGCUAGCGGCAGGCCUAAUACAUGCAAGUCGAACGGUGGUAGCAAUACCAUAGUGGCGCACGGGUGCGUAACACGUAACUAACCUACCUAUAACUGGGGGAUAGCCCGCCGAAAGGCGGAUUAAUACCGCAUAAGCUAGUGAGUUGGCAUCAACUUAUUAGUAAAGAUUUAUUGGUUAUAGAUGGGGUUGCGGGUCAUUAGCUAGUUGGUAAGGUAACGGCUUACCAAGGCGACGAUGACUAGGGGAGCUGAGAGGCUGGUCCCCCACACGGGCACUGAGAUACGGGCCCGACUCCUACGGGAGACAGCAGUAGGGAAUAUUGGGCAAUGGACGAGAGUCUGACCCAGCCAUGCCGCGUGCAGGAAGAAGGCUUUCUGAGUCGUAAACUGCUUUUGACAGGGAAGAAUAAGCCUUACGUGUAGGGUGAUGACGGUACCUGCAGAAUAAGCACCGGCUAACUCCGUGCCAGCAGCCGCGGUAAUACGGAGGGUGCGAGCGUUGUCCGGAUUUAUUGGGUUUAAAGGGUGCGUAGGCGGCUCCUUAAGUCCGGGGUGAAAGCCCGUUGCUCAACAACGGAACUGCCCUGGAUACUGAGGAGCUUGAGUACAGACGAGGUUGGCGGAAUGGACUGA